GAUGAACGCUGGCGGCGUGCCUAAUACAUGCAAGUCGAGCGAACAGACGAGGAGCUUGCUCCUCUGACGUUAGCGGCGGACGGGUGAGUAACACGUGGAUAACCUACCUAUAAGACUGGGAUAACGUCGGGAAACCGGAGCUAAUACCGGAUAACAUGUUGAACCGCAUGGUUCAACAGUGAAAGACGGUCUUGCUGUCACUUAUAGAUGGAUCCGCGCCGCAUUAGCUAGUUGGUAAGGUAACGGCUUACCAAGGCAACGAUGCGUAGCCGACCUGAGAGGGUGAUCCGCCACACUGGAACUGAGACACGGUCCAGACUCCUACGGGAGGCAGCAGUAGGGAAUCUUCCGCGAUGGGCGAAAGCCUGACGGAGCAACGCCGCGUGAGUGAAGAAGGUCUUCGGAUCGUAAAACUCUGUUAUUAGGGAAGAACAAAUGUGUAAGUAACUAUGCACGUCUUGACGGUACCUAAUCAGAAAGCCACGGCUAACUACGUG
rnacentral:rRNA from 1 species